UACAGAGGUCCCGAGCGUUUGUUCGGAUUCACUGGGCGUAAAGGGUGCGUAGGUGGCAUAGAAAGUUUGAUGUGAAAGCUCAGGGCUUAACCCUGAAAUGGCAUUGAAUACUGCUGUGCUGGAGGUUUGGAGGGGGGGACUGGAAUUCUUGGUGUAGCAGUGAAAUGCGUAGAUAUCAAGAGGAACACCAGUGGCGAAGGCGAGUCCCUGGACAACACCUGACACUGAGGCACGAAAGCUAGGGGAGCAAACAGG
rnacentral:rRNA from 1 species